rnacentral:rRNA from 1 species
UACGUAGGGGGCAAGCGUUGUCCGGAUUUAUUGGGCGUAAAGCGCGUGUAGGCGGCCAUACAGGUCCGUUGUGAAAACUCGAGGCUUAACCUCGAGACGUCGAUGGAAACCGUAUGGCUAGAGUCCGGAAGAGGAGAGUGGAAUUCCUGGUGUAGCGGUGAAAUGCGCAGAUAUCAGGAAGAACACCCGUGGCGAAGGCGGCUCUCUGGGACGGUACUGACGCUGAGACGCGAAAGCGUGGGGAGCGAACAGGG